rnacentral:rRNA from 1 species
CAAUCGCACAGAAGGGAGCUUGCUCCCGGAUGUUAGACGGCGGACGGGUGAGUAACACGUGGGUAACCUGCCUGUAAGACUGGGAUAACUCCGGGAAACCGGAGCUAAUACCGGAUAGUUCCUUGAACCGCAUGGUUCAAGGAUGAAAGACGGUUUCGGCUGUCACUUACAGAUGGACCCGCGGCGCAUUAGCUAGUUGGUGGGGUAAUGGCUCACCGAGGCGACGAUGCGUAGCCGACCUGAGAGGAUGAUCGGCCACACGGGUGAUGACACACGGACCAUACUCCUACAGGACGCAGGAGGAAGACUUCUUCCGGCAAGAAAGAAUGUCGGAACUACCACCGCCGGGUGGGGGAGGUUGGCGGAUCGAACCCACUGUCGGUAGGCAAGAAUGACGAGAGAGUGACUGCCCGGUCCUUGUGGCCCCAAACGAAAAAGCCACUCUCUAGGUACGUGCCAGGAUGCGCAGGACAUACGUAGGUGCUUCGCGUUGCCUGGAAUUAGAGCGCGUGCAGCACUGGCUGGUGCGGUUCCUAAGUCAGUAUCGUGUAGAGUCUCCCGGCUCGCCCACGGUACGUCUCAAUUGCAAACUGCUUAGACGUGAUUGC